rnacentral:miRNA from 1 species
UCACUGGGUUUGACAGAUCUUA